rnacentral:piRNA from 1 species
CUUCAACAUACAAAUUUGGGAGACACUGACA